rnacentral:rRNA from 1 species
UACGUAGGUGGCAAGCGUUGUCCGGAUUUACUGGGCGUAAAGAGCGCGCAGGCGGUCGUUCAAGUCGCGUGUGAAAGCCCCCGGCUCAACUGGGGAGGGUCACGCGAUACUGAUCGACUCGAAGGCAGGAGAGGGUAGUGGAAUUCCCGGUGUAGUGGUGAAAUGCGCAGAUAUCAGGAGGAACACCGGUGGCGAAGGCGGAUCUCUGGGCCUGAUCUGACGCUGAGGCGCGAAAGCUAGGGGAGCGAACAGG